UUAACGCAAAUUUGUAUGGAGUUGGAAGGUUUUUCUACGUUUGCCGCUAGGGGCGCUGUUCCAACCGUCUACAAAUUUGAUUUA
rnacentral:pre_miRNA from 1 species